rnacentral:rRNA from 1 species
GAUGAACGCUGGCGGCGUGCCUAAUACAUGCAAGUCGAGCGGACGGACGAGAAGCUUGCUUCUCUGAUGUUAGCGGCGGACGGGUGAGUAACACGUGGAUAACCUACCUAUAAGACUGGGAUAACUUCGUGAAACCGGUGCUAAUACCGGAUAAUAUUUUGAACCGCAUGGUUCAAAAGUGAAAGACGGUCUUGCUGUCACUUAUAGAUGGAUCCGCGCUGCAUUAGCUAGUUGGUAAGGUAACGGCUUACCAAGGCAACGAUGCAUAGCCGACCUGAGAGGGUGAUCGGCCACACUGGAACUGAGACACGGUCCAGACUCCUACGGGAGGCAGCAGUAGGGAAUCUUCCGCAAUGGGCGAAAGCCUGACGGAGCAACGCCGCGUGAGUGAUGAAGGUCUUCGGAUCGUAAAACUCUGUUAUUAGGGAAGAACAUAUGUGUAAGUAACUGUGCACAUCUUGACGGUACCUAAUCAGAAAGCCACGGCUAACUACGUG